UACAGAGGUCUCAAGCGUUGUUCGGAUUCAUUGGGCGUAAAGGGUGCGUAGGUGGCGCUGUAAGUCGGGUGUGAAAUUUCGGAGCUUAACUCCGAAACUGCAUUCGAUACUGCGGUGCUUGAGGACUGGAGAGGAGACUGGAAUUCAUGGUGUAGCAGUGAAAUGCGUAGAUAUCGUUUGGAACGCCAAAGGUGAAAACAGACAGCUGGGAGUGUGCUGACGCUGAGACACGAAAGCCAGGGGAGCGAACGGG
rnacentral:rRNA from 1 species